UGCUAACCGUCCGAGCAAAACCAAAUCGCGCGAAGUCCACCAUUUUUUUCCUCUGAUCCAAAUUGAUAUUCGCCUUCAAGUCCGGAUCGAUCUAGGUCUACUACGAAACAAAUCAGUCAUCCAAUUUUCUCUCACUAAGAGGGAAGGCAGGAAGGCAGCCGGGCAGGGGGCGACGGGAAGGCGGCGACGGUCUGGGGAGCGGCAGGAAGGCGGCGACGGACAGGGCAGCAGCGGGAAGGCGGCGACGGACAGGAGAGUGGCAGGAAAGCAGCGACGGUCUGGGGAGCGAUGGGAAGGCGGCGACGGAUAGGGCAGCGCUGGCUUUGCGGGUAGCGAAGGGAGAAGCAUCAAGGCCGUGGUAGGAAAGAUGCAAGUCAUGUUCUAACGGCCUCUGCUCCUCUGGCUGCCCAUCCAACCUGCCCGCCGGUCGCCCUUCUUCUCCCUCACCGUGUACGACAGCGAGAUUGGCCUUCGAGGUUCGAUGGAUAAUGGAAAAGUCACCUAUCUGAAAAUGUGGAGCCUUGUUAUUUGCUAUUUUUUUUCUUUUAUGUCCAUGUAAUAAUUCGAACAAGAUUUGUACGUGUGACUGUCCUAGUCUU